ensembl:snoRNA SNORD42 Small nucleolar RNA SNORD42
GUGCAAAUGAUGGAAAACAGCUUCACCUGAGUACAGUGAUGUUAUCAAAGGAACCACUGAUGCAC